CAUUAGAUGACUGAAAGUAAGUACUGGUCUCUUAAACCAUCCUAUAGUAAUGUAACAUUUACUUCUAAUGA
rnacentral:tRNA from 1 species